rnacentral:rRNA from 1 species
UUGACCUCAAAUCAGGUGGGACUACCCGCUGAACUUAGGCAUAUCAAUAAGCGGAGGAAAAGAAACUAACAAGGAUUCCCUUAGUAACUGCGAGUGAAGUGGGAAGAGCUCAAAUUUGAAAUCUGGCAGUCUCUGGCUGUCCGAGUUGUAAUCUAGAGAAGUGUUGCCCGCGCUGGACCGUGUACAAGUCUCCUGGGAUGGAGCGUCAUAGAGGGUGAGAAUCCCGUCUCUGACAUGGACUACCAGGGCUUUUGUGGUGCGCUCUCAAAGAGUCGAGUUGUUUGGGAAUGCAGCUCAAAAUGGGUGGUAAAUUCCGUCUAAAGCUAAAUAUUGGCGAGAGACCGAUAGUGAACAAGUACCGUGAGGGAAAGAUGAAAAGAACUUUGGAAAGAGAGUUAAACAGUACGUGAAAUUGCUGAAAGGGAAACGCUUGAAGUCAGUCGCGUUGG